rnacentral:rRNA from 1 species
AGAGUUUGAUCCUGGCUCAGAUUGAACGCUGGCGGCAGGCCUAACACAUGCAAGUCGAGCGGAUGAAGGGAGCUUGCUCCCGGAUUCAGCGGCGGACGGGUGAGUAAUGCCUAGGAAUCUGCCUGGUAGUGGGGGACAACGUUCCGAAAGGAGCGCUAAUACCGCAUACGUCCUACGGGAGAAAGUGGGGGAUCUUCGGACCUCACGCUAUCAGAUGAGCCUAGGUCGGAUUAGCUAGUAGGUGGGGUAAUGGCUCACCUAGGCGACGAUCCGUAACUGGUCUGAGAGGAUGAUCAGUCACACUGGAACUGAGACACGGUCCAGACUCCUACGGGAGGCAGCAGUGGGGAAUAUUGGACAAUGGGCGAAAGCCUGAUCCAGCCAUGCCGCGUGUGUGAAGAAGGUCUUCGGAUUGUAAAGCACUUUAAGUUGGGAGGAAGGGCAGUAAGUUAAUACCUUGCUGUUUUGACGUUACCAACAGAAUAAGCACCGGCUAACUUCGUGCCAGCAGCCGCGGUAAUAC